AUAGCGUAUAGUACCGUGAGGGAAAGGUGAAAAGAACCCCGGGAGGGGAGUGAAAUAGAACCUGAAACCCUGCACUUACAAGCUGUGGAAGCACAUUUCUUGUGUGACCGCGUACUUUUUGUAGAACGGGCCAACGAGUUACGUUAAGUAGCAAGGUUAAGCACUUAAGGUGUGGAGCCGUAGCGAAAGCGAGUUUUAACUGAGCGUUCAGUUACUUGACGUAGACCCGAAACCGGGCGACCUACCCAUGAGCAGGAUGAAGCGAAAGUAAAAUUUCGUGGAGGUCCGAACCCACGAGCGUUGAAAAGCUCGGGGAUGACUUGUGGGUAGCGGUGAAAUUCCAAUCGAGCCCGGAGAUAGCUGGUUCUCCCCGAAAUAGCUUUAGGGCUAGCCUCAAGGUGAGAGAUACGGAGGUAGAGCACUGAAUGUCCUAGGGGGUAUUGCACCUACCGAAGACUAUCAAACUCCGAAUGCCGUCAUCUUAUACUUGGGAGUCAGACUGUGGGUGAUAAGAUUCAUAGUCGAAAGGGCAACAGCCCAGAUCGUCAGCUAAGGUCCCUAAAUGUAAGUUAAGUGGUAAAGGAUGUGGGAUUGCACAGACAACCAGGAUGUUGGCUUAGAAGCAGCCACUCAUUCAAAGAGUGCGUAAUAGCUCACUGGUCGAGUGAUCCUGCGCCGAAGAUUUCCGGGGCUAAAACUUACUACCGAAGCUACG
rnacentral:rRNA from 1 species